CAGCCAUUCGCUUGACUUGAUCUAAGGGACAUGGAUGCUCCGUUCUCCCCCACCCUUUCUUCCUCAACCGGAGUCCACUUCGACAACGCCCCAUCCCCAAAAUCACGGCACGCAUACCUUCCGUGCUUCCUCCGGCACCCAGUCUUGGUACGCUCCUUCCCACGCAUCGAAGCGCUCCCGGACCUCCCUGUACCGGCGCGUCCCUAGCCCGCGGUGCUUCCUGCACCAACCGGAAGCCUCGCCCGCCGUCCUCGCUCGCCGCCGCUAUCGGAGGCGGAGGCGCUGCUGCCCCCACACGAUCAAGCGUUGAGUCCGCCACUAAUCCUCGCGCCCCUCCCAUCCUAAGGUUCCCGGUGGUCAACCGCCCAACCUCCCUGCCUGCAGCCGCUGCUGACACUGCUGCUUUCCUCUCGAUCUGGCGCCGACAAGGACCCUCGCCGUUGCUAAUGGGGCACGCCCGGAUUCAACGCCGCCAAGUAAUUCGAUUUUUCUGCAUCAUCACUUCCUUCAAGGUGCUCGACGAGACCUUACAGGUAAUCAUGUUUCAGGUAUAGAUGAGGAAGGACUUCAAUUGCUAAUUCACUGCAGGUUAAUCACGUUUCAGAAUACUGACUUGAAGUAAUCGCGCAUAGAUGUCUUUUAUUAUCUGAAAUCUGAAUAUUUUGAGUCUCCACUUUCAGAGCGAUUGGAUAUUCAUUAAUCAUCAAACAUGGAAUGUGGAUAGGUAUAGAGUAUGCAACUUCGCCAGCACUUGACUAUUAGCUGAUUUCAUAUUCAUAUUUUCAUUAUUCCGUGAGUCCAUUGGCUGAUGUGGAUAGGUAUAUUCCUUACUUUGUGAGUUCAUAUUUUCUGGUCCAUUGAUGGACAACACUAAGAUGCAUAUAGUAGUAGAGGCGUCGUAAGCGUAUAUGUCUCAUAGAGCCAAAUAGUCCAUGUCGGAUGCAUUUACGGUCUACCUAUAUAAUGUAUUUCAAGUCGAACGCACUUUAUGUCGUUGCUUCUUUCACAUUUUUCUAAUCCUUUCUUGCGCUGGAUUAAAUAUUUUUGUCAUGUUUGUUUCAGGAGUUGUUUGUUAUGGCAGCUGCAUCAGUUCUGUUUUCCAUCAUGGCUUCAUACUGCCAGUAAACAAACCUGGACAGAUUUUCUCCUGGCUUAGGUACUUCUGAUUUUUACGAUGUGGAAUGCUAAAAAUGAUUCAUACUAUCGGUAAAAAGGACUGCUUCAAUGGGACAAAAAUGUGUGGACUAACGGCCAAAAGGAAGACAAAUUUUUGAAGUAUACUAUUUGUCACAACUUUUGUGGUAUAGAAUUCUGGGUGCUUCUUUGUGUUUGAACAAUAAUGGAACUCACUGCACAAUGACUGGUGAAAAUGUUGUGUGCAUAUUUAUAAUAAUGAAACGUGUGAAAACAUAUCUGAAUUCUGAUCCACACCUAAUGGGGCACACCCGGAUUAAGCGCCGCCAAGCAAUUCGAUUUUUCUGCAUCAUCACUUCCUUCAAGGUACUCGAUUCGUCCCCUUCGCCUCAGUUCUGUCUCAUGGAAAAUGUUGUCGACCUACCAUUGGAGUUCAGCUUAAUCUCUUGGUAGACAUAGUGUUGGAAGCAUUGAAUUUUUACUCAUUUUUCUGAACAAUAAUGUGUUUUUUUCCAGUAAUAUGCUUCCAUUGGCUGCUUUGACAAGACUCUUAAAUCAGCACUUAAUUCAUUAUGUUUCCGAAAGAUUGUUACCUGGUUAUUGUUUAGUUUUCAGAUAAAAUUUUACUUUGUCACCAAAACUGUGUAAGCAUUUGGAGAUUUUGAGGAUGUUAUCAUUUGGUGACAUUAGACGCUUUUCAAUUAGAUUUCAACCUCACCGCACUGGUUAUCCGCAAGGCCAUGAAAAUUUGGAUUCAGCAAAAUCUCAACUUCAGUCAUAUUUACGGUGUGUUUAAUAUCUGAUUUGAAGCUCCAUCACACUAAUGAGAUGUCCCAUUUAUUUACUUUGUCCAGUUUCAUACAUUAUGUGUCAUAACAUGGAUCUAUGGAAUAUCCAAAUUUUAUCACGCUAGAAGAUAUUUGGAUCUCCUACAAACAAGUGGUUACAUGCACCUAUCAUUUUGAUCUACUAUAUUUCUGUCCGUGACAAUUUUGUUUUGCUUUUUUGGCAGGGAGUAUUGAAGUUUUUGAGGGUUCAGGGCUUGUAAUAAGAGUUGAAAGAGGGAAGCUCUGGAGAAUGAUUGUGUAAGUGCAAAUUUUGGGACGUUCUUGGCUAAAACCCAACUCCGUGGAGUGCAUUCUGGAGCAACUCAGAAAUUUGGUUAAGACUAGACGCUCCCAAACUAGGAGCUGUGCUGCGACCAGAAAGAACAACGAACUUUCUGCUUAUUUUCUCAAGGGCUGCAGAAGGCUUAUUGCCAUGGACUGGGAGAACUCCGAGUUUUUCCAACAGUGAGAGAGAUCUCAAUAUACAGUGGUGUAGCAAAUUGAAAUUGGGUGAAGUUUGCUGCUCAUUUAAUGGAUGACAGUUAAAAAUUGAAGUUCAGCAAUGUAUCAUGUUGGCUAAAAGUCAUACGAAAUUGCAGUAUUCAAAAUAUUAUGUGUUUUUUCUGAAAGAUUGUAGAAUUGAUUAGUUGAGACGCGCGUGCGCGUGCAUAGCUACUAGUAUUAUAUAUUGGUUAAAUUGAUGAUAUAUAAAUACACGCAAGCACCAAUACGAACGGAGUAAUUAAGAAAAACAAAAACCAAAAAAAUCCCUAACCGGCCGUCAUGGAGCAGUCUCCCGUAUAAUCCCCCGAGGCCUCAGUCUUCUAGGCUGGCUCAAGCCGGCCCGGCCGGCGCAGCGACGCCAUCGGUAGGGGCCAGGGGCCAGCGAUCGGCGGGAGCACCGGAGUCCGGAGGCCGUGCAGGUGGCAGGGGCCCCGAACCCGGCGACCGGCGGUGGCAUUGGGCUGCAAAGUGCAGAUCCCAGCGAUACGGAGUCCCCAAAUCAUCUCACGCUGUACUGAAUUUGUGGUGAGAAACUGAGAACACUGCAGAGAGAUGAAGAUGUGCAGUGGUGAUCUGAAGUCAUUGUGGCAGAGAGCUUCGAAGAAAAAGAACUCUGGUUCCACCUCCUCACCAGAAAAGUAAUGUGUUGAAGUUGAAUCUGGACCUCAAAAUCAAAGCUAUUCUUCUUCCGCCGACCUGGAUCACAACGAAUGCAUACCUACAAGGCUACAAGUAUCAUCGUCGCCACUCCUCCUUUAGCAAGCAACUCCGACUUCACCGCAGACGGCCACAGAUGAUGGCACUGCACUGCAACGAGAUGAUGCCUUUUCUCAGGAAAAAGGUGCGAAGACUCCAAUGUUACCAACAACUACUGGCCGGUGGUGGCAACUGAUUUCUACCAAGGCAGUAUAGGCUAGACUCCAAUGACUAGAAGAAUAGAGUGAGAAAAAUUCAGAAAAGUGAAACAUGUUGCUGUGGAUCGACCAAGCUCUGGAAAUGUUAUAAAAACUGAUAUCUAGCUGUUGUUAGUUAGUGGUUCUUAGACUUCAUGGUUAACCUGGAACUCUAGUUUCUGUUGGUGGUAUGUUUGUGUAUUCUGGAGGUUGCUUUUAGACUCUGGGAUAGUUGAUAGGAGAAUAGUUCCUGGUGUGGGCGCAUGUGCGCCUGAGAAGCUUCGAACUUCUGGAGAAUCUCUGUUU